GUGUUGGUUGCAUUUGGAAAAUGAGUUUUUCGCUGAUGUUGCUGCUGACGUGGCUGCUGCUGCAAGUGUCGUUUGCUGCCCUUGCAUUUGUCAUGGCCGAUGGAACCUGCCGCAAACACAAACGAGAAGAGAAGCAAAAGAGAACGACAAAAUACAAGCUGAAGUAGCGUUAAACCUGAAAAACGCUAUCAGCCCCCAAGUGAACCCUGUCAGAGGCAAAGUCAAGUGCAAAGUUGUGGUUUAGACCACGAAGGCUGGCAGAAAAUUUUCGGCAAAUAAAUACAUAAAUAAUCACAAUUCACAGUGAAAACUUUCGUAGGCGAUGCAUCUUGCAGACAUGAGAUGAAUUACUUAUUACAUAACCUCAAAUGGCGAACAGUAAAUUUUUUGAAAAAAUUUUUUUUGUGCAUUAAUUUCGAAUUCAAGUGUAAGAGUUAAUAAAAUUGUACGGUAAAUGAAGUA